UACGUAGGGUGCGAGCGUUGUCCGGAAUUAUUGGGCGUAAAGAGCUUGUAGGCGGUUUGUCGCGUCUGCCGUGAAAAUCCGGGCUCAACCCGGACUUGCGGUGGGUACGGGCAGACUAGAGUGGUGGUAGGGGAGACUGGAAUUCCUGGUGUAGCGGUGAAAUGCGCAGAUAUCAGGAGGAACACCGAUGGCGAAGGCAGGUCUCUGGGCCACUACUGACGCUGAGAAGCGAAAGCGUGGGGAGCGAACAGG
rnacentral:rRNA from 1 species